UAGGGAAUCUUCCACAAUGGACGAAAGUCUGAUGGAGCAACGCCGCGUGAGUGAAGAAGGGUUUCGGCUCGUAAAACUCUGUUGUUAAAGAAGAACAUAUCUGAGAGUAACUGUUCAGGUAUUGACGGUAUUUAACCAGAAAGUCACGGCUAGUUACGUACCAG
rnacentral:rRNA from 1 species